GAUGAAGAACGUAGCGAAAUGCGAUAAGUAAUGUGAAUUGCAGAAUUCAGUGAAUCAUCGAAUCUUUGAACGCACAUUGCGCCCGCCAGUAUUCUGGCGGGCAUGCCUGUUCGAGCGUCAUUACAACCCUCAGGCCCCCGGGCCUGGCGUUGGGGAUCGGCAGAAGCCCCCUGUGGGCACACGCCGUCCCUCAAAUACAGUGGCGGUCCCGUCGCAGCUUCCAUUGCGUAGUAGCUAACACCUCGCAACUGGAGAGCGGCGCGGCCAUGCCGUAAAACACCCAACUUCUGAAUGUUGACCUCGAAUCAGGUAGGAAUACCCGCUGAACUUAAGCAUAUCAAUAAGCGGAGGA
rnacentral:misc_RNA from 1 species